UACGUAGGGUGCAAGCGUUGUCCGGAAUUAUUGGGCGUAAAGAGCUCGUAGGCGGUUUGUCGCGUCUGCUGUGAAAACUCGGGGCUUAACCCCGGGCCUGCAGUGGGUACGGGCAGACUAGAGUGCGGUAGGGGAGACUGGAAUUCCUGGUGUAGCGGUGAAAUGCGCAGAUAUCAGGAGGAACACCGGUGGCGAAGGCGGCAUCCUGGACCAAUAUUGACGCUGAGGAGCGAAAGCUAGGGGAGCAAACGGG
rnacentral:rRNA from 1 species